UACGUAGGGACCAAGCGUUGUUCGGAUUUACUGGGCGUAAAGGGCGCGUAGGCGGCAAUUCAAGUCAUCUGUGAAAUCUCCGGGCUUAACCCGGAACGGUCAACUGAUACUGCUCGGCUAGAGUGCGGAAGGGGCAACUGGAAUUCUUGGUGUAGCGGUGAAAUGCGUAGAUAUCAAGAGGAACACCUGCGGCGAAGGCGGGUUGCUGGGCCGACACUGACGCUGAAGCGCGAAAGCCAGGGGAGCGAACGGG
rnacentral:rRNA from 1 species